rnacentral:rRNA from 1 species
CAGUCGCCGCGGUAACACGUAGGGUGCAAGCGUUAAUCGGAAUUACUGGGCGUAAAGCGUGCGCAGGCGGUUAUAUAAGACAGAUGUGAAAUCCCCGGGCUCAACCUGGGAACUGCAUUUGUGACUGUAUAGCUAGAGUACGGCAGAGGGGGAUGGAAUUCCGCGUGUAGCAGUGAAAUGCGUAGAUAUGCGGAGGAACACCGAUGGCGAAGGCAAUCCCCUGGGCCUGUACUGACGCUCAUGCACGAAAGCGUGGGGAGCAAACAGGAUUAGAUACCCCGGUAGUCCCUGUCUCUUAUAC